UACAGAGGGUGCAAGCGUUAAUCGGAAUUACUGGGCGUAAAGCGUGCGUAGACGGUCAUGUAAGUCGGGUGUGAAAGCCCCGGGCUCAACCUGGGAAUUGCAUUCGAGACUGCAUGGCUAGGAUGCGGAAGAGGGAAGCGGAAUUUCCGGUGUAGCGGUGAAAUGCGUAGAGAUCGGGAGGAACAUCAGUGGCGAAGGCGGCCAUCUGGAUCAACACUGACGCUGAGGCACGAAAGCGUGGGGAGCAAACAGG
rnacentral:rRNA from 1 species